rnacentral:lncRNA from 10 species
CCCCCUCUCAUCCCACCUCUCUCCUGGCCACCCUCCCCUUCCAGAACCUGCCAAAGACCCAGAGGAUUUCUCAGACUCUCCCAUUAUUGGCAACCUCAUUCAUCAUUAGAGCUUCUGCGAGGCUCCUUGACCUAGCCGCUGAAGAUGAACGAGGCCCAGGGCCCCAGGCCCCAACUGCCAAACUGCCAUCAAUGCAGCAGAGCCCAGGGUAACUCUGCUAGUAUCAGGUAAGCCGAUCUCCUCUUUUUUUUUUUUUUCUUUGAGACGGAGUCUCACUCUGUC